rnacentral:pre_miRNA from 1 species
GUUAGUGGAUGGUGUUCAGGACCAAGGACAGGUGUGUUUGCCUGUGCUUGGAUGGUGUUCAAACACCCGAAACAUGUAUGUUUGCCU